rnacentral:tRNA from 1 species
AGUAAGAUGCCUGAUUAAAGGAUUAUUUUGAUGUAAUAAAAAAGUAGAAUUUCUACUCUUGCUA